rnacentral:snoRNA from 1 species
UCCUCCUACAAAGGCAUGUUUUGGGUUCCCUGUCCUUGGACAUGUAAGAAUCGAGGCAAAGAAAUUUGGUGGAUUUGGAAAGGUCUGGGACCAACUCCCCAUCCCCACCCCACCUCACCCCUGCGCAGGCUCAAGAUCAACCAUCC